UGUAAAGUAAUUUGUAAAAAAUUUUCAAUUGUAAAAUUGCUACAUGAGAAGACAAGUUGUUAGAUGAAAUUCAAAUAUUCUCUAUGUUUGUGUUGUGUAGGUCAAAAAGUAAUAGAUGAAGAUGAUAUUGAUUGUGAUGACUAAGACUUCAUUUUAAGACACAUCAAUCUUCAUCAUUUUUAAAUAAAAAGGAUAAACAUUAUGGAUUUCCAUUAUCUCAAGCAAACUUUCAAUAUUGUGUGUUGCUUCUCUUAAAUGAGAUAAAAACCCAAGGAUGCAAAAAACUUAAUAUAAAAUAGUGUGAAGAAGAAGUAGUAACUGAAAUGAACAGCAUAAUAGAAUUUGAUAAGUUUGACUCAGCACUUGACAAUGUUUCGUCUAGUAACUCUGUAGUAUCUCUGCAGUUGUAAAUUGCUAAAUACUGAUUUGACAGAUUUUUCUUUUUUUUUAAAUUUUCUUUACAAUAUAUAAUUUUUACUACUUAAUUAGGAAUUGUCAGAUUUCCAUUAUUUCUUUCUAUUAGAAACAAAGAGUUCAAAAUAUUGGUGGUAAGAACUGUCAAAAACUUGUGAUAGCAAUGAUGAAGAGUUUUAUGACAAAUUCACUCAUGGCCAAAUCUAAUAUGGCAGCUGGAAAAAGCAAAGAAUCUUUUUAGUCUAACCAAGCUAUACAACUUAAUAA